UACGUAGGGUGCGAGCGUUGUCCGGAAUUAUUGGGCGUAGGGCUCGUAGGCGGUCUGUCGCGUCGGGAGUGAAAACUCAGGGCUUAACCCUGAGCCUGCUUCCGAUACGGGCAGACUAGAGGUAUGCAGGGGAGAACGGAAUUCCUGGUGUAGCGGUGGAAUGCGCAGAUAUCAGGAGGAACACCGGUGGCGAAGGCGGUUCUCUGGGCAUUACCUGACGCUGAGGAGCGAAAGUGUGGGGAGCGAACAGG
rnacentral:rRNA from 1 species